rnacentral:rRNA from 1 species
UUAUUAUAAAUAAAAUUUUUAAAACUAUAGGAGUAUUAGUUAUGUUCUUGAAAUUAAAAAAAUUUGGCGGUAUUUUAGUCUAUUCAGAGGAACCUGUUUUUUAAUCGAUAAUCCACGAUGGACCUAACUUAAUUUUGUAAAGUUUAUAUAUCGUCGUUAUAAAUAUUUUAAAAGAAAAUUAAAUUUUUAAUAAUUAUAAAAAUAAAAUAUAUCAGAUCAAGGUUUAGCUAAUAAUUAAGUUAAAAUGGGUUACAAUAAAUUUAUUUAAAUGGAAUAAAUAAUGAAAUAUAUUUAUGAAAUUGGAUUUGAUAGUAAAAUUAUAGAGAUUAAUAAUUUGAUUUUAGCUCUAAAAUAUGUACAUAUCGCCCGUCACUCUUAUUAAUAGAUAAGAUAAGUCGUAACAUAGUAGAUGUACUGGAAAGUGUAUCUAGAAUG